rnacentral:rRNA from 1 species
ACCCUGACGGAACGACGCCGCGUGAACGAAGAAGGCCGGAGUUGUAAAGUUCUUUUCUGUCCGAGGAAUAAGUUUCGGAGGAAAUGCCGGGACGGUGACGGUAGGGCAGGAAUAAGCACCGGCUAAUUACGUGCCAGCAGCCGCGGUAACACGUAAGGUGCGAGCGUUGUUCGGAAUUAUUGGGCGUAAAGGGCAUGCAGGCGGGUCGCCAAGCUUGGUAAGAAAUACCGGGGCUCAACUCCGGAGCUAUAUUGAGAACUGGCGAGCUAGAGUUGCCGAAGGGUAUCCGGAAUUCCGCGUGAAGGGGUGAAAUCUGUAGAUAUGCGGAAGAACACCGAUGGCGAAGGCAGGAUACCGGCGGACGACUGACGCUGAGGUGCGAAGGUGCGGGGAGCAAACAGGAUUAGAUACCCUGGUAGUCCGCACAGUCAACGAUGUACACUGGGCGUGUGCGCCAGAGCGUGCGUGCCGAAGCAAACGCGAUAAGUGUACCGCCUGGGGAGUAUGCCCGCAAGGGUGAAACUCAAAGGAAUUGACGGGGCC